rnacentral:rRNA from 1 species
CCUACGGGGAGCUGCAGUGGGGGAUAUUGCACAAUGGGGGGAACCCUGAUGCAGCGACGCCGCGUGGGUGAAGAAGCGCCUCGGCGCGUAAAGCCCUGUCAGCAGGGAAGACAAUGACGGUACCUGAAGAAGAAGCCCCGGCUAACUACGUGCCAGCAGCCGCGGUAAUACGUAGGGGGCAAGCGUUAUCCGGAUUUACUGGGUGUAAAGGGGGCGUAGACGGCGGGGCAAGACAGGAGUGAAAGCCCGGGGCCCAACCCCGGGACUGCUCUGGAAACUGCCUGGCUGGAGUGCGGGAGGGGCAGGCGGAAUUCCUGGUGUAGCGGUGAAAUGCGUAGAUAUUAGGAGGAACACCAGUGGCGAAGGCGGCCUGCUGGACUGCGACUGACGUUGAGGCCCGAAAGCGUGGGGAGCAAACAGGAUUAGAUACCCCGGUAGUC